UGCACCUUCUGAGCUGCCUUGUGCACC
rnacentral:piRNA from 1 species